GCUCCAGGCUCUGAGCUGUCAGCGCAGAGCCUGAUGCGGGGCUUGAACUCAUGAACCAUGAAAUCAAGACCUGAGCUGAAAUGGAAUGCUCAACCAAAUGAGCCACCCAGCUGCCCCAAGAGAGAAUCUUAAAUAGGGGUGCCUGAGUCAGUCCUGGAAAUGAAACAUAUACCUCAAUAAUAAUGUAAAUAUUGAACUUAUGAUUAGAUAAGUGUCCCUUAUAUACUGGGGGUCCCUGGUGCCUCAUCACAGGGAUAAGAACCCCUUCCUAUCUUCUCACAGGGAAAGAUUCCCUGGUGUAGCAAGUGAGUACAGGCUUGGAAAUCAAAGGGUCUGACAGUAAACCCUUGUUAACACUAAUUCAAGGACAAGACUUGGGAAAGUGUCAUAAUCUGAUUCAGUCUCUCUCUUUGUCUCUCUCUCUCUUUUCUUCCCAGUGACAUAGGAGAAAAUACCAUCUACCCACCUGGUUGCUAGGAUUGUUAAACAAUGUAAUGUAUCCGCAAAUAAACAUGUUAUUUUUUUCAUCUUAACUAAAACCUUUCUCUACUCCAUUUUCAUGUCUACAACUUUCUUCUUUCUCUGUUCCCCUUUAGAGCAAUGCCCUUUGAAAGAGAUUGCUAUAGUUAGAAUACUCUAUUACUCUCCUUUAAAAAAAAAAAAACAAAAAAACUCACUGCACUAAACCUUGGACCCCUCCACAGAAACCACUCUUGUCAUAUCUGCAGUGAUAUCCACAUUGCUAAAUCCAAAAGUCAAUGCUCAAUCUUGCCACAGUUGAUUUCUUUUUCUCAUGGAAAUGCUUUUAUUUAUGUAGCUGUCAUGACACCAAGUUCUCAUGACUUGUUUCUAUUGUUACAGGCUGCUUCUUAGUAUCUUGUGAUGUUCCUUCUCAUCUCCCCAAUUUCUUAAUUUUAGAGUGCCUCCAAGCUCACCUUUUGGCACUCUUGCUCCAUCCACCUAAGCUCUUCAUGACCACACCUAAUGACAUGGUUUUAAAUAGUUUAUAUGCUGAUGAUUGCCAAGUGCUUCCUUUCUAGUCUGUACUCCUUCCUGAACUCUGUGGACUUAUAUAUUCAACUGCCCUCUGGACAUCUCUAGUUGGGUAUUUAAUAUAAAUUUUAAAAUCAACUAGGCCAAAAUGGCCCCCAUGAUGCUUCAUUUAUCCAGAGUAUUCCCCAUCUCAAUUCAUGACCACAGCAUCCAUCCAGCCCUUUACACCCCAAACCUUGAAGUCAUCAUUGAUACUUCUAAUGAAUUGGAAAUCCUUUCAGUUCCCACUUUAAAAAUGGUCGGGGCACCUGGGUGGCUCUGUUGGUUAAGCAUCCAACUUUGGGUCAGGUCAAGAUCUCACUGCUCUGUGAGUUUGAGCCCCACGUCAGGCUCUGUGCUGACAGCUCAGAGUCUGGAGCCUCCUUUGGAUUCUGUGUCUUCCUCUCUCUCAACCCUUCCCCCACUCACACUCUGUCUCUCUCCCUCUCUCAAAAAUAAUAAAACAAACAUUUUUUAAAAAUAUACAAAAUAGACAUAUCCUCACUUCUGCUGCUAUCACUCUAGUCCAAGCCACCAUUUUUCUCUCCUGGAUUAUUGCUAUAUCCUCCUGAGUGGUCUCUGUUCCUACUCAUGCCCUCCUAUGUUUCCUUCAAUCCGGAAAUACAGUCAUAUUUUUGAAACUAUAUAAGUCACAUCAUGUUUUUGAUCUGCUGUGAUCCCUUCCAUGACUCCCCUAUCACUCAAAGUAAAAAGCAAAAUUCUUAAAAUGAUCCUCAAAUCCCACCUAAAUCUAGUCUGACAGUAAUUUUUAAACCUUCUUUGAAAAUAUUCAUCCCUUUCCUUAUUUAUCUCCAGCUACUGGCUUCUUUGCAGUUUAGAGAAUAUCUUUAGCAUGUUGCUACAUAAGACCUCUGUAAUCUUGGUUUCAUUUCCUAGAAUAAUUUUUCUUUAGGUAUCAGCAUAGCUUGCUCCUUUUUCUCCUUUACAUCUUUGUUCCCUGACCUCAUUCUUUAAAAUGCAAAUCUCAGCACUUCUUAUCUCUUUCCUCUACUUGAUUUAUUUUGGUUGCAUUCAUCACCAUGUUAUACACUGCAUCAUUACUUCCCCAAGGAGAAUGAGAAUAUGAGCUCCAUCAGGAUAAGGAUCCUGGUCUGUUGUGUUCACUGCUAUAUCCCCAGAACAAUGUCUGUUGUAUAAGGGAUCAAUAAAUGUUUAUUCAUGGAAUGAAUUAAUGAAUAAGAAAGCACUUUGUGAAAUAUAAAGCACAAUAAAAACAAAGCUUAUCAUAUUUUUCCUAGUAUUACAGGAAACACCAUUAAAAUGACUAAGCAUCCAUCUGAGUUGAACAAUCAGCUCUGGAACUUAUAAACAUUGCUUUGGAGAGUACACAGGUAUCAGAGACAUAACUACCCUAUCUGCUACAUACACAUUCAAUUGUUAUAUACAAUAUGCAUAUUAUUUAUCUUAUGUACUAUGUUUACACUCAGUUGUUAACAGUCUGCCCUGCUUUUAGGUUAUAAGCAUUUUGAGAGUGAAGACCAUAAAAAAUAGGCCAGGUCAAUGUCAUAUGACAAUGCGGGUAGGUGUUUAUUUGUCUCUUGUGUCCCACUGAGUAGAAAUAUAUUAACAGAAAACAUUAUGAACUGAAAACAAUAAUUAGAAGAAUUAAAUUAAAGCUUACAGCAGCCUUAGAUGAAGAUACAGGUGAGUUUCCUGCAAAGCCUAUGUUAUGCUGCUUACUUUAUGAAAAUGAAAACUAACCAUCCUUGACAAGAAACAGCACUGGUAAUGACAGAGACUUUGUGUAGUGAUAGUACUCUGAGUGAUAAUGGCAGUACCCAGCAGCCAAAUCCAUAUUUGUAUUGACUGAUUCUUAUCCACUGUUACAUGACUCUACGCUUUUUUCAGGCAUUAUGUACUGAAUCUUAAAUACCUUGGAUGAGUCAAGAGGUAAGUUUUGAGCAACAGGCUUCCUCUUAUAUCCUAUAUUUACAUUGGAAAGCUAGAACAGAAAACUUUCUUGGCCGAAGAUGAGCUAUCACACAAUAUUCUGAAAUACAGGGUGAUAAAAUAACUGUUUUAAGAAUGUGGCAAGAAAAAUAGAUGCACACUAUUUUUUUCUGUACCAUUGUAAUGACAGCAACCUUAACAGUGACUUUGUAUUGGAUGCCUUUCAUAAACCACUUAGGCUGUACAUGAGAAAAAAGAAGGGGGGCAGAAAUUAAACAUGGUGACAUCCCCUCUCUCCAUCUCAACAUUGGUGUCUCAGUUCUGGACUCAUAUUUCCAAGGGUAGUGUCACUGUCUCCUCAUUGUUUUCCCUGAUUCUGGGUGCAAUCAAUUCUUCCCAUCCUCCAUGAUGCCAUGACAGAUAUUUUCCUAAAACAUGAAACUGGGUUCGUUUUCCUCUGCUUUAAGUCUUUAAACAUCUCUACAUAUACAGCAGCAUUUAUUGAAAGGGUCAUAUGGUUCUUAUCCUUUGUUUUAUUGUUGUGUUGUAUCACAUUGAUUGAUCUGCAAAUAUUGAACCACCCUUGCAGUCCAGGAGUAAAUCCUACUCGAUCGUGGUGAAUGAUUCUUUUAAUAGACUGCUGGAUUCGAUUAGCUAGUAUUUUAUUGAGAAGUUUUACAUCCAUGUUCAUCAGGGGUAUUGACCUGUAGUUCUCUUUUUUAGUGGAGUCUUUGGUAUUGGUGUCAGGUGAUGCUGGCCUUGUAGAAUGAACUUGGAAGUUUUCCUUUGAUUUCUGUUUUUUUGGAACAGUUUGACAAGAAUAGGUAUUAACUCUUCUUUAAAUGUUUGGUAGAAUUUUCCUGUGAAGUCAUCUGAUUUUGGUCUUUUGUUUGCUAGGAGUUUCUUGAUUACUGAUUCAUUUUCCCCACUGGUUAUCAGUCUAUUCAAGUUCUCUAUUUCUUCUUGUUUCAGUUUUGGUAGUUUAUAUGUUUCUAGGAAUCUACACAUUUCUUGUAGGUUGACCAAUUUGUUGGCAUAUAGUUUUUCAUGAUAUUUUCUUGUAAUUAUUUGUCUCUUUCUGCUGUUGAUUCAUAUAUGGUCAGUAUAAGGCUUCUAGAAGCCUACCUCUCCAUCUGAAGGUAUGGAUAUGGUCAGUAUAAGGCUUCUAGAAGCUUACCUCUCCAUCUGAAGGUAAGGAGGAGGAGGACCUUAUUUACCUAGAUGCUAGGAAGAUAUUUUAUAUGCCUGUUUACUCUUCACAAAAUCCCUAUAAAUUAUUCAUCUCUUUUUCUAACAAAUGAGGCUCAGAUAAGUUAUUUAGUAUGUUCAAAAUCACUCAGCUACUUAGUGGUGGGUCAGAGCUGUGAGCUUGUUUGACUUCAAAGUUCAUGUUCUUCCCUCUAUGAUCAUACCUUACAGCUGAGCCUAGAUGAAUCUGCUUGGAGGUCCCUAGCUGCUUCUUGAGAUUUAUAUGCCCCUAUGACUUAAUGCAGUUUGCUCUCACUGUCUGAAGUGCUGUCUCCCCUUGAUCACUUGAAAGUCAUUAUUCAUCCCUCAAACAGCUAACACACUGCUUUUUCUCUGAAGCCCUCCCCGCUAUCUUUCCUGCCUAGAGGCGUUUAGGUAAUAAACUCCCUCUACAGCCUUCAGUGGAUCGUAUAUAUAACUCUAUUGCAACAUCUUAAAUUAUCACAUUAAUGAUUAAAGUUUGUAUAUCUGACCCGAUUUUUUGAACUAUAAUUUCACUUAGGGCAAGUAUCAUGAAUUGUUCUUUAUACAUUUUAUGCACUCUAUAAAAGUAAUUUUAAGUAAUCUAAGACAUUAUAAUUAAAGGUUAAGAAACAUACUUUAGAAACAGUUACACUUUGUAUGUUUUGUGCAUUGCACCACCUGCUGUUGAGAGAUAUUUAUCUCUACUUCGUCAUGGAAACCCCUCUGUCAUUUUUUGUUUGUUUGUUUGUUUGUUUGUUUGUAUUUUAACCAACUCACUUGGCAUCUCACAAUUGAAUUCUUUGAGGAUCCAUUUUCCUGCUGUUCUAUGCUAACCAGUAUUUCCCUUAUAUUGUUCCGUGUGGCUACUUUUUGCUUAUGGGGCUAAUGACAGGCCUGAGAUUUGUUGGUCAUUCUGUGGUGCUAAGGCUCGCUGUUAAGGCUGGGUUCACAAGAGAAUAAGGGAUGGUGCUAUUUCAGUUAACACAGGAAUUUCUAUAAAAAUGGGGAGAAUAAGUAACCAUUACUGAAGGUUUCCUGUUGUUCAUGUGAAUGACAUCUUUGAGAUGGUCAAAACAGAAAUGUUUAAUGUCCCUGGUUGGUUAUAUUCUGUUAUCUGUUGCUUGGCUGAAAGGAUGAUGAUUUUAGAAGGAACAUCCUGGUUCUGUUUUUUUCUAACCUCUUUGGCCUCUCUUGGUCUAGCUUACCCUAAAUCUAUAUAUAUCCAUUAUCUUUUUUUUUUUUUCAUAAAAAGGAAUCUUUAAUUUCCUAAUAUCUAGGCAAAAGAAAUGAACAGAUUCUCCUGCCCCUGUGAUGUAGAGCAAGAAGGAAUAGUGUUAUGAGAAAGACCACCCCCUAUGAAUAGUAAACUUAGAUUGUGAUCUUUUUUUUUAAGUUUUUAAUGUUUAUUUACUUUUGGGAGAGAGACAGAGACAGAGACAGAGAGACACAGAGCAUGAGCAGGGGAGGGGCAGAAAGAGAAGAAAACACAGAAUCCGAAGCAGCUCCAGGCUCUGAGCUGUCAGCCCUGAGCCUGAUGUGGGGCUUGAACCCACCACGAACCCGUGAGAUCAUGACCUGAGCCCAAGUCACAUGCUUAAGCCACCGAGGCAUCCUGGUGAUCUCUCUCUCUCUCUCUCUCUCUCUCUCUCUUUUUUUUUGUACCUCAUGUUUAAAAACUCACUCUAUAGCUGCUGAUAAAAGGAUAACAUAUUUAACGCAAAAAUGAAAUUUACAUUCUAAUUUCUGCUAUAUAAAAGGAAAAGAAACUAUUUAAGGAUCAUAUAGACAUAUUUGUAGUUUGGAGUAUAAUGCAUGCAUCUAAGAAAUAAUCUAUAAUAGUGUAUGAGUACUUGCUAUAAGCCUGACAUUAUGGCAGGUAUUUUAAUUACUAAAAUAAAUAUGAUUAAUUUCUUCCCUCAACAAUCUGGGUUGUGGCUGAUGAAACAGACAUAUACAUAGAUAAUUAUAACACAGUGUAGAGAGAAUUGAAGAACACUAUCAUGUUGUAAUGCAGAUCAACACUCCCAGAAUAAUUUAAAAAACAACUAACCCAGGGGCACCUGAGUGGCUCCGUGGGUUAAGCACCUGACUUUAGCUCAGGUCAUGAUUCAUGGUCCAUGAGUUCAAGCCCCGCAUCAGGCUUUGUGCUGACAGCUCAGAGGCUGAACCCUGCUUUGGAUUUUGUGUCUCCCUCGUUCUCUGUCUUCUCUCUCUCUCAAAAAUAAAUAAACUUUAAAAAAUUUAAAAAAAACCCAACUAACUCUAUUAUACUCCAACUUUAAACCCUUGCAUAUUUUUCUAUUGUAUAAUGGAUAAAAGUCAUCAUUAUGAGAUCUUCUGGGAUAUAGUUCCUGAAUAAUUUUCUAAAAUUUUUCUUUUUAAAAAGUUUUUAUUUACAUGCCAGUUAGUUAACAUAUACAUAGUUUCAGAUGUCCAAUAGAGUGAUUCAACACUUCCAUACAUCACCCAGUGCUCAUCACAAGUGCCCUCAAUACCCAUCAUCUAUUUAACCUAUCCCCCAAACACCUCUUUCUGGUAACCAUUAGUUUGUUCUCUAUAGUUAAGAGUCUUUUGCUUGGUUUGCCUUUCUCUCUCAUUUUUUUCCCUUUGCUUGUUUCUUAAAUUACACAUGAGUGAAAUUGUAUGGUAUUUGUUUUAGUGAUUGACUUAUUUCGCUUAGUGUAAUACUCUCUAGCUCCAUCCACAUCAUUGCAAAUGGCAAGGUUUACCCUUCUUUAUGGUUGAAUAAUAUUCCAUUAUAGAAAUAUUCUAUUAUAUAUAAUAUAUAAGUUAUAAAAUAUUCUAUUAUGUAAAUAUUCUUUAUCCAUUUAUCAAUUGAUAGACAUUUAAGCUGCUUUAAUGUCUAAGUUAUUGCAAGUGAUGCCGCAGUAAACAUCAGGGUGCAUGCAUCUUUUUAAAUUGCUGCUUUUAUACUCUUUGGGUAAAUACUUAUAGUGCCAUUGCUAGACUGCAGUGUAGUUCUAGUGUUAAAUUUUUGAGGAAAUUUCAUAAUGUUUUCCACAGGGGCUGCACGAGUUUGCAUUCCCACCAACAUUGCAAGAGGGUUCCCCUUUUUUCCAAGUCCUUGCCAACCCCUGUUGUUUCUUGCGUUGUUGAUUUUAGCCAUUCUGACAAGUGUGAGGUGAUAUCUUAUUGUAGUUUUAUUUGCAUUUCCCUCUUGUUCAGUGAUGUUGAGCACCUUUUCAUGUGUCUGUUGGUCAUCUGUAUGUCUUUUUUGGAAAAAAAUCUGUCUUCUACCCAUUUUUAAUUAGAUUAUUUGCUUUGGCAUGUUGAGUUGUAUAAGUUCUUUAUAUAUUUUGGAUACUAACCCUUUAUCAGGCGUAUUAUUGCAAAUAUCUUCUUCUAUUCUGUAGGUUGCCUUUUACUUUUGUUGAUGAUUUUUUUUUUUUUUUUUGCUGUGCAGAAGCUUUUUAUUGUUGUGUAGUCUUAAUACUUUAUUUUUGCUUUUGUUUCCGUUGCCUCAGGAGACCUAUCUAGGAAAAGUUGCUAUAGCCAAUGUCAGAAAAAUUAUGGCCUGUGCUUUCUUCAAGGACUUGUAUUAAUUUCGUUCCCUUACAUAGGCCUUUAAUCAUUUUGAGUUUAUUUUUAUGUAUGGUGAAAUAGAGCCAUCCAUCUUAAUUCUUCUCCAUGUUGUUGUGCAGUUUUCCGAACACCGUUUGUUGAAGAGAGAGUCUUUUUCCCAUUGGAUAUCCUUUCCUGCUCUGGAAAGACUAAUUGACCAUAUAAUUGCGGGUUCAUUUUUCAGUUUUAUAUUCUGUUCCAUGGAUCUAUGUGUCUACUUUUGUGCCAGUACUAUACUGUUUUGACUGCUACAGUUUUGUAAUAUAACUUGAAAUCGGUGAUUUUGAUGCCUCCGGCUUUGCUUUUCCUUUUCAUGAUUGCUUUGGCUAUUUGAGGUCUUGUGUGGUUCUAUACAAAUUUUAGGAUUGUUUGUUCUAUGAAAACUGCUGUUGGUAUUUUGAUAGGGAUUGCAUUAAAUGUGUAUAUUGCUUUGGGUGGUAUUGGCAUUUUAAUAAUAUUUGUUCUUCCAAUCCAUGAGCAUGGAAUGUCUUUCCACUUUUUUGUGUCAUCUUCAAUUUCUUUUAUUAGUGUUUUAUAGUUUUCAGAGUACAGGUCUUUUACCUCUUUGGUUAAGUUUAUUCCAAUGUAUCUUAUUGUUUUGGUGCAAUUACAAAUGGGAUUGAUUCUUUAGUCUCUCUCUUUCUGCUGUUUCGUUAUUGGUGUGUAGAAAUGCAACAGAUUUGUAUACGCUGACUUUGUAUACUACGGCUUCACUGAGUUCCUUGAUCAGUUCUAGCAGUGUUUUGGUGGAGUCUUUCAGGUUUUCUACAUAGUGUAUCAUGUCAUUUGCAAAUAGCGAAAGUUAGGGGCACUUUGGUGACUCGGUUAAGUAUCUGACUCUUGGUUUUGGCUUAGGUCAUGAUCUCACAGUUCGUGCAUUGGAGCCCUGUGUUGGGCUCUGCACUGACAGCCCAGAGCCUUCUUAGGAUUUCUCUCUCCCUCACUCUCUGUCCCUCCCCACCUUGCUCUCUCUCUCUCUCUCUCUCUCAAAAAAAAAUAAGUAAAUAAACGUAAAAAUUAAAUUUAAUUCCUCAACCAACUAGCCAACUUCUAUGUUCUUGCUAUCUAUAUGUGACUAGUGGGUAAAGUACUAAAAAAUGCAAAACAUUUCUGUCAUUGGAGAAAUUUCUUUUGGGCAGUGCUGACAUAUAGCACACAAUCAGUAUUGCUCUUAAAUGCUGAUACUUCCCAAAACUUUUAGAAACCUUCAGAUGUUUUAAAAGUAUGCAACAUUAGAGUUUUAAGAAUUGUUAUAACAGAACUUUGUAUAGAAAGGAAGCUCAGCAUGUGGUGAAGUAACCAUAUAUUUGUGGUUACCUUCUCUUUUCAUUGCUGAAAGCCAUGUUUUAAUAACACAGACCUGCUAUCUAGUCAUAUAUAUGCCUAUUGAUGUGCAUACUGCUUUGAUUGGCAAAAUGAGACCUGAUGCCCAAGGAGUAUGUUAGUUGAUAUUAAUCAUUUAUAACCAUUUAUUGUUUAAGAGAUACUUGGCUGUAUAAAAUUUAAUGUGUUUUAAACAUAAAUUUAAUGUUAGGGUAACAGGUUACUGACAUACAUAACAAGUUUCAUAUUCAUUCUGCUAAAUGGAUUAAAAUGAAUAUUUAACCCAUCAGAAUAAUCUGUAAACAAAGUGUGUUUAAGAUACCAAGAUAAUUGCGAUUGUAAGUAGAGAAAAGAGAUAAACUAUUAAACCUUAAGCGAAUCUUGAAAAACCAUUUAUAUACUUUGAGGCAGGUAUUCACUAAGCAAGUAUUUUUAUUUCAUGAUGUACUUAAAGCUAAUACCAUGUCUAAGUGUGGGCGUGCGUCUAUAAAAAUAAAAACAGGGGAUGCCUGGGUGGCUCAGUCAGUAAGCAACCAACCUUGAUUUGAGCUCAGGUCACGAUCUCAUGGGUUCGUGGGUUCAGGCCUACAUUGGGCUCUGCACUGACUGCAGAGCCUGCCUGGGAUUCUGUCUCCCUCUCUCUCUGCCUCUCCCCCACUCAAUCUCUAUCUCUCUCUCAAAAUAAACAAAUAUUUAUUUACUUUUUAAUUUAAAAAAAAAAUUUUUAACGUUUGUUUAUUUUUGAGACAGAGAGAGACAGAGCAUGAACGGGGGAGGGUCAGAGAGAGGGAGACACAGAAUCUGAAACAGGCUCCAGGCUCUGAGCUGUCAGCACAGAGCCUGACGCGGGGCUCGAACUCACGGACCGCGAGAUCAUGACACGAGCCGAAUUUGACCGCUUAACCUACUGAGCCACCCAGGCGCCCCUAAUUUUAAUUUUUUUUAAUGUUUAUUUUUGAGAGAGAGAGAGAGAGAGAGAAUGUGAACAGAAGAGGGGCAGAAAGAGAGGAGACACAGAAUCCCAAGCAGGCUCCAGGCUCUUGAGCUGUCAGCACAUAGCCUGAUAUGGGGCUCGAACCCAUAAACACAAGAUCAUGACCUGAGUGGAAGUUGGACGCUUAACCGACUGAGCCACCCAGGUGCCCCAAAAUGAAUAUUUAAAAAACAAAGAAACAAAAAGCAGGGAAAGGAGGUAAAUUUUGAUAAAAAUGACUCAAAUUUUGGAUCAUAGCAAAUGUCUGAACAUCCCCAAGGGGUUCUUAUUUACCAAGAAAAUAAGAUUUGAAAAUAUGUUAGUAAAUUGUUCGCAUUCAGACCAUUAGGUGUUUGAAACACUCAUUCUUCUUUGUAAGGUGUUGUUAUAGAUCAAGUUAAAGCAAUAUUUGUCCUAAGUUAUUUAUAUGAAUAUCAUUUGAAGGAUCCCUAGUAGAAAAGUGAUGACAGAGUUGAGUGUCCUUUUGUUAUGAAACAAAGAAGGUAAAACAAAAUAGAGUACUUUGAAGCAUUGAAACUUAAUUUUAAGAAUAUAGUCCUUCUUGCUCUGGUAGUUUUUAAAUCUGAAGUAGCUGUUAAUAAGGUCAUCCUAAACCUGAUACAAACUUUAAUGUUGAAUGUAGCACUUAUAAUUUGCUUGUACUCUUAUUACACAUUAAAAAAACCAAAAGGGUACACUUGUAUAUAUUUUAAACAUCCAGGUUGACUAUCUAGAAUUUUUAAGUGACUUUUAUUUUGUUUUUAUUCAAAGAGAAUGUAUUCUAUGGUAACAUUUAAAGAAAAUCAUGAUGGGUAUUUAUUGAGCCAUUGUAUAAUUUUUAUUCUAUUUUUAAAGCAUUCAUAAUAAUCUAGUCUCCUGUACCUAUUCCCUGUCUCUGAAUUAGGAGCAAUAGUGAACCUAUUUUUUUCCUUACUCUGUUUUUCUUCUUUUUUUUUUACAUGAAGCUUAAUGAACACCUACUCUGUGCCAUAAAUGUGGUAGAUGUAGGGUCAUUGGAAGUAAAUCAAAUGGAGAUAUUCUUUACCUUGUUAGAAUUUAUAGCAUGUAAGCUACAAAUUAAAACUGUAUGAUGUGGUACAGAUGUAAUUCUCACUUCAUAUUAUAAUAUAGAGGCAAAUUAAGAUCAUAACUAAUAUAAGUUACAACUGCCAGAGUAAUCCACUAAUACUCUCUAACUUGGAUUCUCCACUAUAUCAUUUAGUUUGCUAUUAUCUGCGACUAAGAAAACAACAGCAAGCCAACUUGCUUUAAAAAAUACAGGGUAAAAUUACCUGCGUAAUAAAAAGUUCAAAGGAUGGGUGUGGUUCCAUCAAGACUGUUACCUCUGCUUCACCCCUGCUGGCGUCCUUCAUGCUCCUGGCCUCAGAGCUGCACGUCACACAACCAGAGAAGAGAGAAACUGUCUCAGAAACCCUGAUCAGUCUUUAUAAUUCUCAGCAAUCUAAAUUGGAUCAAAUAUGCACCAGUUAUGGUGUCAAUCCCAACAAAAUUCAGGGCACAACAGCAAAGCAGGGAGUUUGACAAGGGUACUCUGUUAACUAGAAGUUAACAAGGGUACUCUGGCAGAACAAAGAGGCAAUGGAAGGUGGGGGAGAAAAUGAGACCCAUUCUUUUAGGCAUAUCUUGUGCUACGCUGAACGUCAAAUAAUACAGGCUAUACUAUCUCUAAAGGUGGAGAAAUAAAGGGCAGUACUUUUAUAAAAGUCUUGGUUUUAUGGUCCUUCUUUUAUAGGGAAAAAAAAGUGUUUAUAAAAUGUUCUAUUACCUUCUAUCCAGAAAAUCGUUCACCCUUUUUUCAACUUACUUAUUUUUCCUCCUUACUUCCCAGGUGAGCAUUGAAUGUAGAGAAAUUCUGGUAUGGAGCUGUUAAAAUAUUAACCCAAAUCCAAAACCAGCUGAUCCUAGUGCCUUUAAUGAUUGCAUAUGUUGUGAUAUAUGGUUCAACAUGCCACUCCCAUAUCUCUAUGCAGACCCAAAAUGAAGAUAUACAGACAGUGCCUCACGUAUGGAAUAACAGAGGCCCAUGUGACCAGAACAGAGUGAAAGAUAGAGAAGAGGUUAUUAAAUAACUGGGAGCAAGAGGGUUGUUUCCAGAUGGAUUUCCUUCUUGCAAGCUAUGCUAUGAGCUCUACUCCUAGAAGGUAAAGGGCUAGGGAUAUUGAUCCAUCACCAAAAGCCUAGGAGGAAAGAAUGGUUUCUACAGGAUUAACCAAGAAAACAUUUGUCUCCUGAACCUGAAUCCCAUUCAGAAAAUCUCACAAGUCAGAGAUGGCUGAUUUGAUGGCAGGAGAGAGACUGAAAAGACUUAGGCCCAGGAUAAAUAAGUGAGGAUCCACACAAACCUGGGACCCUUAAAAGACUACAUACAGCCAGUGAAAAGGAAGUCUGAAAAUAAAUCUACUUAUUGCGCUAAGGAGAUAAUGAGGAAAUAAGUCUGUGGUGAUCUUCAACAUGGAAUAAACUGCUACUUCCCAUUUUUAUAGAAGCAGAUCCAUUCCAGCUGUGGAUGUGAGCAGAGCUGCCUCCAACUCAUUGAUAGUGGAAAUAUUUCAUACUCAUCAGUGUGACGUGAUUCCAACGACCAAAGCUUGUAAGCAAAUGUCUUUAAAAAAAUUUACAAGCCCAGUAUUUUGGAACUGAAAAAUAACUAAAUUGUAAUAUAUCGUAGGUGUUUAGUAAGCCUGAGGAAAUAGAGUAAUAUUAGAGUAAUAUUCUAUUAUGUAUUAAUUUCAUAUUACAUAUUACAAUGUACACAUUACACAUCAAUAUCAACGUUCAGUCUAUUAAUUUGAGGGUUUGAAUUCUAUGAAUCUUUUUAUGCGUCUCAAACUGACACAUUAAAUUAUUGAUUUAUGACAAAUUCUAAAAAUAUAACAUUGAAAAUAUUUUUAUUCCUUUACUUAAACAACUAAGGAGAUAUAUACCUCAUUGUAAAGAGACAACCAGAGUCUUGUUAAUGAGUUAACAAGUGAACUCAUUUGACAUUCUCAAUAAAUUUCAUUGACCUUAUCACAUUCAAGCAUAUAUCUGUGCAAUGUCUAAGGUAUGGUUUUGGCUCAAUGUUUACUUACCAAUAUCUGGUUUGCUUAAUAAAUCUCCGACAAUUAGUCAUAUUCUUAUUUUUCUACUUCUAUCGACAAUUUUAUUGUUAUUCCCAUUAUUUUGGGAAUAGAGCACAGUGAUUAUUAAACAAUCCCAGAAUUGUAAGAAAGUAAAUUCUUGCCACAGAAAAGUAAUACAUAAGAACUACAUGUGGUGAAAUGUAAAUGGAAUCGCACAGUAGCUUGGAUAAUAAAUGUAAUGUAUCCCUGUGCACAGACCAAGAUUCUGAAGUCACUUCCAUUAACUUUUCCUAUGUGUUGAGAAGCUAGACGAAAGCUGAGAUUUUAACCAAAGUUAUUUUUCAUACAAUAGCACGAACACAUUCUGCAUUCUUAUGGUUAAACCCUUGGUAAUUUGCAUUUCAUGUUUCUAAAUUUUUACUUUUACUGUAGUAAGGGUAGAAUUGAUUUUGAAAAGGACAAAGGGAUAAAAGAAGAACAUACUGUCACUGUAAUAACAUAUAAUACUAUUUAAAAGUCUAAUAGAUUUGGAAUUUGUACAUUAACAUGACAUUUUUAUUUGUUCAUGUGGCAGUUACUUUUGAGUCGACAUAUUCGUUUAAAACUUAAUUUAGGUAAGAAUAUUCAUGUGGCAUGUCUUGUAAUGCCAUUAGCACCAGUUGAGGAAAUGCUCCUGAACUUCUGUCAGGAUCUGAGUCAUGCAGGAAGAGUUGUGUAUAUGAAUAAGGGAAACAUUUGAUGAGGGUGUCUAGGAGUAGGAAAAAUCCAAUGGUUUUGAUUUAUAUUUAAUAAAGUGUAUUUUUAUAGUUACAUCAUAAAAGAUAAAAACAAUAAGUUUCCGGGGUGCCUGCGUGGCUCAGUUGGUUGUGUGUCCAACUUCGGCUCAGGUCAUGAUCUCAUAGUUUGUGGGUUCAAGCCCUGCGUUGGGCUCUGUGCUGACAGCUCAGAGCCUGGAGCCUGCUUCGGAUCUGUCUCCUUCUCUCUCUGCCCUCCCUACUUGUGUUCUGUCUCUCUGUCUCUCAAAAAUAAAUAAAUGUAAAAAAAAUUUUUUAAAUAAUAAGUUUCCAUGGUUGAAUAAUUUUUGAAAACCAUUACAUAUUAUUUUCCUUGAAAAUUUAGCAUUCAUUUCUGUAUUAGAGGCUCUGAAAAAUCCUAAUUCAGGGUUCCUACAUUUUUUUUUGCUUUGUUUUGUUUUACUUUACCCUUCAUUCUCUGUCUUUUUUUUUUUUUAAUGACAAAAUGCUUUCUUAAACUAACAGCUGUUGCCAUUCUAUGGAAAAAAAAGUGCUCCAGAAAACAUUUUGGGAAAGAUGGAAAUAGGUCUUAAAAAAAAAAAAAGAUGAAAACACACAUGGAGAUAUGAAAACCUCAUAGGGUACCAGCCAGUCUCUCGCCAGAUUCAUUGGCACAGUAGGUGCCAAUUCUAGGUUCCCUCAGGUGUUCUCUGGUUAAAAAGUGACCCUGCAAAAGAAGACUUUCAGAAGAAGCUGAGUGCAUAACAGUGGUUCUCAAGCUUCUUAAGAUGGGUACUUUACGACUGGCAGGCACCUUUCAAGGAGUACCUAGCUGUCCUCUACAAUUCUCUUUGGGAAUUUCUAUCUGCCAAGAGUUACAUGUUUCCCAAAUGCCAUAUCCCUUGUUAAGCCAUAACUUAUAAUCACAGCAUUUAACAAGAAAAAUACUAUAAAACACAAUUCUUUCCAAACCAGGGGUAUUCGGCUCUUUGGCAAUUACAUUGAAAAAAUAUGGAGACCGAUACAUGUGUCUAAUCCUGUGUUAAGGAUGGAGAUUAAAAAAAUGAUAAAGUAAAAGUCUCAAAGGAGUAACAGGUUAGUGUAAGGUAUAGUCAUAUAUGCAAAUAACCACAACAAAGUAUGAUAAAUGCUGUCGUAGUGGAAAGAGUAAAGAGUCAUAGGAUGCCAGGGGUGAGAGGGAGAAUACAUUCCGCUUGCAGAAGAUAUGUAGAAGGUGGCCACAAUUUCAAAGAAUGGGUGACAUUUAAUCAGAAAUAAUUUAAUAAUGAAAAAUAAUAUAAUGGAAAUAAUUCACCCCAUGGGGAAAAAUGCACAAGAAAGCUGUUGCCUGGUCUAGAACCAAAUCUUAAGCUGGGUCACAAACCACCAGAAACAACCAUAUCAGGUCACUUUGCUACAUAUCUCUAGCUACGACCCUGACUAGUAAUAGCUACUGGUAUGACCAUUUAACAAACAUUUUUGAGAGUUUCCUAUGUGCAAUGCAUACUUAGUAAGUAGCAGGGAUACACCCGUGAGCAAGACACAAACCUCAGGUUUAAGAUUCCAACAGUAAUCAGGAACACGACAGGGAUGUCCACUCUCACCGCUGUUGUUUAACAUAGUGUUUCUGGUUCUAGCAUCAACAAUCAGACAACAAAAGGAAAUCAAAGGCAUCAAAAUUGGCAAAGACGAAGGUAAGCUUUCACUUUUUGCAGAUGACAUGAUAUUAUACAUGGAAAAUCCGAUAGACUCCACCAAAAGUCUGCUAGAACUGAUACAUGAAUUCAGCAAAGUCGCAGGAUACAAAAUCAAUGUACAGAAAUCAGCUGCAUUCUUAUACACUAAUAAUGAAGCAACAGAAAGACAAAUAAAGAAACUGAUCCCGUUCACAAUUGCACCAAGAAGCAUAAAAUACCUAGGAAUAAACCUAACCAAAUAUGUAAAAGAUCUGUAUGCUGAAAACUAUAGAAAGCUUAUAAAGGAAAUUGAAGAAGAUAUAAAGAAAUGGAAAAACAUUCCAUGUUCAUGGAUUGGAAGAAUAAAUAUUGUCAAAAUGUCAAUACUACCCAAAGCUAUCUACACAUUCAAUGCAAUCCCAAUCAAAAUUGCACCAGCAUUCUUCUCAAAACUAGAACAAGCAAUCCUAAAAUUCAUAUGGAACCACAAAAGGCCCUGAAUAGCCAAAGUAAUUUUGAAGAAGACCAAAGCAGGAGGCAUCACAAUCCCAGACUUUAGCCUCUACUACAAAGCGUUAAUCAUCAAGACAGCAUGGUAUUGGCACAAAAACAAACACAUAGACCAAUGGAAUAGAAUAGAAACCCCAGAACUAAACCCACAAACGUAUGGCCAACUAAUCUUUGACAAAGCAGGAAAGA